AUAUAUGACAACAGAUGAAUAAUACUGAAACAUUUCAAUGUAGCAGUAUUUUGUUGUUGUAGCUGCCAUAGGUCAUACAGAUAGAUUCAACUACUACAUGCAUUUUUAUGUACAGAGAUACCAAACAUGCUAUAUCUGAGGGGUGGUGAGAUAAUGAAGGGAACUUUAAAUAAGAAGACAUCUAAAAUGUGAACUUGAUUACACAAAGCUUUCUGUAAGACACAAACAUUUUUACAUCAUAAACAUUUUUGACAGGCAAAGCAAACCAGGAUUAAAGAGGCAGCCAGGGACCAGGUGUUACAAAACCUGAAGACUUCCCUGUCUCAGAAGAGGGCCCUGGACACACAAGAUCACCUCCACAAUUCUAAGAAUGAAUCUCCACAAUGUGUUCAUGGGGGAAAGCGAGCAAAGAUUAACAAGGCAGCAAGACGUGUGCUUUUACCUCUGGCAUCCAGUCCAAGUUCUGAUGACGCCACAUACAUAGGAAGUCCA
ensembl:lncRNA